rnacentral:rRNA from 1 species
AUUGAACGCUGGCGGCAGGCUUAACACAUGCAAGUCGAGCGGGGGAAGGUAGCUUGCUACUGGACCUAGCGGCGGACGGGUGAGUAAUGCUUAGGAAUCUGCCUAUUAGUGGGGGACAACAUCUCGAAAGGGAUGCUAAUACCGCAUACGUCCUACGGGAGAAAGCAGGGGAUCUUCGGACCUUGCGCUAAUAGAUGAGCCUAAGUCGGAUUAGCUAGUUGGUGGGGUAAAGGCCUACCAAGGCGACGAUCUGUAGCGGGUCUGAGAGGAUGAUCCGCCACACUGGGACUGAGACACGGCCCAGACUCCUACGGGAGGCAGCAGUGGGGAAUAUUGGACAAUGGGGGGAACCCUGAUCCAGCCAUGCCGCGUGUGUGAAGAAGGCCUUAUGGUUGUAAAGCACUUUAAGCGAGGAGGAGGCUACUUUAGUUAAUACCUAGAGAUAGUGGACGUUACUCGCAGAAUAAGCACCGGCUAACUCUGUGCCAGCAGCCGCGGUAAUACAGAGGGUGCGAGCGUUAAUCGGAUUUACUGGGCGUAAAGCGUGCGUAGGCGGCUUAUUAAGUCGGAUGUGAAAUCCCCGAGCUUAACUUGGGAAUUGCA